ACUGGGCGUAAAGCGCACGCAGGCGGUUUGUUAAGUCAGAUGUGAAAUCCCCGCGCUUAACGUGGGAACUGCAUUUGAAACUGGCAAGCUAGAGUCUUGUAGAGGGGGGUAGAAUUCCAGGUGUAGCGGUGAAAUGCGUAGAGAUCUGGAGGAAUACCGGUGGCGAAGGCGGCCCCCUGGACAAAGACUGACGCUCAGGUGCGAAAGCGUGGGGAGCAAACAGGAUUAGAUACCCUGGUAGUCCACGCUGUAAACGAUGUCGACUUGGAGGUUGUGCCCUUGAGGCGUGGCUUCCGGAGCUAACGCGUUAAGUCGACCGCCUGGGG
rnacentral:rRNA from 1 species